AAUAAGAGUUGAAUGAGAAUUUAACUUAGAGUUUAAUUAAAUUAAACCUAAGUUUUAUUUCUUUUUCUCCUUAUUUCUCUCCAGUCAUGCCGAAUCUUCUCCUCAUCUCCUCCGCGAUCUGGCUUCUCCCGAUUCACGGUCGUCGGCGCACUCCUCCCUUCCAAAUCUGCCACCAUUGUCUCCGAGCCAUCCCUUACGCGGGUCGUCUCUAGCCAAAAGCGGGGAGUCACUGCCGCCUUUCUCAUUGCUCCGGCGUCAUCGCCGAUGGGAAGGGAGGCUAUGAGGUCACUUCGUCGCAGUCGAUUCCACCUCUUCAGCCGAUGCCCUAGUCGACGAUCCACAACCGACGGAGCGUGCUGGAUAUCUGCUGGAAGUCGCCGAUCGCGUCGGAUCUGCGCUCGACAUCGCCACCGCUUCCCGAGCCCUAGAUUUGGUUCAUUGUCGCAACCUUCUUCUUGAUUUGAUUUCACCGUGGAUGUGGGUGAUCACCACCCAUUCUCUCCAGCCGAUCGUCGCGAAGCUUUGGAGACAUCUUGAGAGUUGAUCACCAACGCACCACUUCUAGCGACCACCCGAGUCGAUCUUGACAAAUAUGCUCCCUUGGGCAUCUUUGUCCCUUUGCUGAUGUUGUGCUAGCAAAUCAAGCAAUAGUCACUCUUCUUGUCGGUUGAUCCAUGGAAGGGAAACCCAUGCCACCACAAAUUGGGUUCUGUUCGAGUGCCACCUCCAAGGGGUGAUCAUUCAAGUGUGAUGUGGAUUUUUGUUGAAUCGAUCAUGGGUUUCAUCAGCGCAUCUUAUUGUUGGGGAUUCAGUGGGAGAAGAGGUGGCUGAUAUUGGAGGGUAGCGGUUUUACCUACUCAAACUAGCAAUACUGACAGUGAUUUUCUCCGGUUGUGAAGCAUCAGUUGAAGCUUCAUACUUGGGUGAGUUCGAAAGUUGAUUUCGUGUUUACAUUAGAUUGGAUUAGUGUGUUGAUUAGUGAGCUUUGGAUUGAUUAUGCUUGUAGUAAAUCUUAAUUGGAAGGGGAAAUGAUUGGGGAUGCUUAAUCUAUUUGGUUAUGAAUUAGAGAUCCAUUUGUGAGUUGAUUUCUCUAGUUAGGUUAAUUUGGAUGAUAGCAUGAUGAUUAUCAAGAUAUUAGAAGGAUUAAACCUAAUCUAGUGAAGGUUAUGUAUUGAGUUAAAUCUAACAGAAUUAAUGAGAUUUGUUAACUAUUAGAUUUAGGGUUAAUAAUUAAAAUAGAAUUAAUGUAUAGAUUCCUAAUCAGAUUAGGGUUCAGUUAACUAUUUGGUUCAUGAUGGAUUUAGCUAACUAGUUCAUACUUGAUUAGUUAUAUCAUACAUUAUAAAGGCGGGUAUUUCUUCCUUGGCCUUUAUAUAGUUCUUUGAACUUAGUGCAUGGUUAUUAUUUGAUGGAUUAGGCUAUUUUAUCUUAAAUCGUGUUCGUUUGUUGUUUUUCCUGCUUGAUACUUAUGUUUGAUCUUUGAGGUGAUCUAAUUAUAUCAUAUACGAUCUCGACUUUUGAUAUUCAUACUUUGUUGUGUAAACACAUGUAGAGUAUGUAUUGUAGGGAUGUUUGGUUGAUUAAGUUAACAUGCUGAUUAUGCAUAUCUUUGUUGAUUGUACACAUGGUUGGUAUGUAUUGUAGGAGUCACGUAAUUGACUAUCCGUUUGCAUGUUGUGUUUGUACAUAUGUUUAGUAUUUGCUAUUGAAGGAUACAUGUUGAUUGGACCUAUAUUAUGUGUAUGUGUCUGGUUGUGAUAUUGAAGGUAUCAUGUUGAUUAUAUCUACGUUGUAGAGUGCAUACUGUUGGUCCUUUUGGAGGCCGACAAGAGGGGAGGGGUGAAUUGCCUUGAAAAAAAUAAAUCAACCCUUUCUCGACUUAUAAUUAAAUUAAGAAUACUUGUAAUUAAAAAUAAAAAAACUAAUUAAACAGGAAAUAAACAUAAAGGAGUUACUUGAUUUGCAAUCAGAAGAUUGCUAAUCCAAGGAGAAUGAAGCGCACUAUCUGAAGAUCUUCUUUGGGCAGAGUAGUCUCUUACAACGUUAACAACACACAAGGAAAAGUAGAACAAAACAUAUAUGGAUUACAAGUUGUUGUUCAGCUUCUUGGACCAAUGUUAUAUUUAUAACCUUGGUCGGGCCGCCUGGAAGGAUUCCAGGCGCCUGGAAGGGGAUAAAAUUUUAUUUCUUCU